UACGAAGGGGGCUAGCGUUGCUCGGAAUCACUGGGCGUAAAGCGCACGUAGGCGGAUAUGUCAGUCAGGGGUGAAAUCCCGGGGCUCAACCUCGGAACUGCCUUUGAUACAGCAUAUCUUGAGUCCGAUAGAGGUGGGUGGAAUUCCGAGUGUAGAGGUGAAAUUCGUAGAUAUUCGGAAGAACACCAGUGGCGAAGGCGACUGACUGGACAAGUAUUGACGCUGAGGUGCGAAAGCGUGGGGAGCAAACAGGG
rnacentral:rRNA from 1 species